CCUGCUUGUUGUUCCUCUCUCUACUUUUCUUGUUUACUUUCUCUUAUUUUCUAUUUUUGCCUUUUUGGUUCCUGUCUUUUCUUUUCUCGUGUACAUUCCCCGAUCCUUGAAUACAAUUUUCUGGUAGGAGUGUUUCAGAGCUCUUUUUCUAAUUAAUAUAAAAAAAAAUAUUUAUUUAAAUAAUUUAAUUUUUAACUUAUUUAUCAGAUGGAUCCAAAAUUGAUAAAACAUCAUUUUGAACGACGUUUUAUCAUUGCCACGUCACCCC
rnacentral:lncRNA from 1 species